UCAUCAUGUAUAAAAGCAGGUGCAACCAGGUCACAGUCAGACAUUUUCCUCAAAUCUCACUCGAAAGCAUCAACACCCCAAAGAGAAGCCAUGAAGCCAGUGAUCGUGCUGUACGUUGCGCUGAUGAUGAUUGCACUGGUGUGCACAACUGUUCCAGAUGCUAAUGCUGUAGACCCCGGAGCAUGUCUCGCAAGAUGUGCCACGAAAUGUCGAAGUAAUGAACAUUAUUACCGCGAGGGAUGGUGUGGUGGUGGAAAACGCUGCUGUGUUCCCCGGACACAUCUGUGAAGGAAGACUGUGUGGAUCAAGCAUCAUGCAUUAUUGUUUUUUCUUCUUCUUCCAUUUAAGUUUAGUUAAAAGCAGUCAGACCCUUACACAAGACAUGGAUUCAUCAUGAUUUGUAUUUAAGCCUGUUUGAUGCCAGUUUGAAUAAAAUCAAAUUUCACAACUAUGAGUAUCUGUGAAUGAAUUCAAUAUUUUUUUAUAUUUAGAAAUACACAUGA
ensembl:lncRNA